rnacentral:rRNA from 1 species
UCCGGAGGAUGCAAGCGUUAUCCGGAAUGAUUGGGCGUAAAGCGUCCGCAGGUGGCUAUGUAAGUCUGCUGUUAAAGAGUGAGGCUCAACCUCAUAAGAGCAGUGGAAACUACAUGGCUAGAGUGCGUUCGGGGCAGAGGGAAUUCCUGGUGUAGCGGUGAAAUGCGUAGAUAUCAGGAAGAACACCGGUGGCGAAAGCGCUCUGCUAGGCCGCAACUGACACUGAGGGACGAAAGCUAGGGGAGCGAAUGGG